CUCCGCCAGUCCACCAUCCUCGAUGCCACCCCGCUUCGACGCCAUCGCCGUCCACCGCUGCAGUCGCGCCCUCCUCUACUUCGCUAGCCGUCGUACGUACCGGGGCUUCCAUUAGAGCCACAAUCCUCCGGGUCGACCUCCUCUGUUGCCGGCCAGAGGCCAGGCGGCGCAAAAGGGCGAGGACGAGCUGGUCGCGGAUCCACUUGAGGGCCAUGGCGGCGUCACCAUGGCCAGAGGUUGCCGCACGCAGGCAGUUCAUGUGCGCGGACACGAGCGAUGCAGCGGAGGGCGCGCCGGCGGUCCAUGUGGGCAGAUGCAAUUGCUCCAUCCCCUCGAAUUCCUUAUAAUCGCCCCCUUCCUCUGGGCCUUCCUCUUCCCCAACACGCCAACCGCCGCAGGAGAUUGCAGCGCCAGGGCUAUGGGGGUGGUGGCGAGGGUCAGGGGUGGUCCUAGCGCGGACGGAGACGACAGACCCGGCGGGGUUUGCGCGCCAGCCGAGGUCCUUGACGCUGCGCCUGACGUCCUUUGUUGGUAGCACGGCCGCCGUGGGGCUGCUGCAGCGUGUGGCGGAGGCGCGGUGGUACAGCGGUGGUUUUCAGCUCCAGCGAGAAGAAGGCGUUGGGUGGCGCUCUGAACGGGGAGAAACUGGUGCAGGUUCUGAACGUGCUGCUGGCGGCUGACUGAUAGAUGCUUCUCUCGGUUCAGGCCGGCCUCUCGCACCGCCAUCACGUGCAUUGCCGCAAGCCUCCUCUGACCGAUCUCUUGCAUGGCCGGUGGAUGAGCUGCAGCUCUUCACCUGGACGACAUCACUCCAUCUCACCGGCUGGUCAAGCAUUUGGCUGUUUAUCAUCAACCUCGCGGCUGCUCCGGCAUGUGGUUGCUCGACAGCCGGCACUGCUACCGCCUUCUCCUCAUCUGUGAGUGCACCGUCGAUUCCAACUUCCAAGCCACUCUACUGCAGUCUAAUGAGGGUCCUGCUGCGGCGUCCCACAUGGGCGAUACUCAAUGGGCAGCUGAGUCUCUAGAAGGGGAGCUUACAGUGGCAUGGAGUUUUUGGCCUCCCUAUGUCAGCAAAUAUCAGUCUAUUGUCGAGCAUGCCUUUCUUUGUAAAGAGGAAUUUUGAUGUCACACACUUUGCUCGAGUGAAGAUGCUAAAUGAUAAUGCAUUUCUGCUACAUUUCUCCCAAGAUUACCCAUUCAUGUCUUCGCAUAAAUGUUGUCUGUAAUUUGAACAAUGGAUCAACGGUGGAGGAAUUGAACUAACAGAGUGGACACCUAAACAUGGUUCAGUUGUGUGUGUUCCCUUAGAUUGCUCAAGUUCAGUUAACUGAUCUGUCUUGCAACCUUGCCAGUAUUUUUUUGAGGGCUAAAAGGGAUGAUUUUAUUCAGAGAAGUGAUACGGUUGGUUACAGUCUAAGGAAAAAGGCCUUACUAAUCGGUUCUGGGAACUCAUUGCUCCAUGUCCAGCCACAGUCAUGGGAAACAUUGUUUUGCACUCCUUUAGCUGAAACACAACUCCAGUUCUGCUUAUCAGACAUACAGUUUCUGACUUCAUGCAAUAUACCCCUCAGGUACGAUAGCGUGUUGCAUCCGCUUUGUACAGCUUUAACGAUUGAGGCGCAAUUGAUUCAAAAAUAAGAGGUUCCGAUAUCUGCUCUUUUACAAGGUGCAUUCCAUGCAGAAAGGCCAGGGCUUCAGCUUCUUCAGCGCUGUUGCAGUUGUUCAAAACACUGCCUUCAACAACUAUUGUUUUGCCCAGUUCGUCGUGAAGUUCCACGCCUGUAGCUCCAUUGUUGUUGUUAGAAACAAAGCUAUACAUUUAGCCACCCAUGAGGAGGAGGUUCCCAAUGUUUGGUCAUCUCUGGUGCAUCCGUCAGAUAAAGCAUACUUCUUUUGCGGAUCAAGCAGUCUUCUACUGUCGGCCAAGUCCUUUUAUUUUGGUGAAGGCGAACAUAACUCCAACAAAUGACAAUUAAUACCUCAUAUGACAUAUCUUGCCAAUACAAUUACUAUAUUUUUAAUGUACUCGAUGGUGCCAAUUGCAACCAUACCAUCCACAGACUGCAUCUAAGCGCUACAGCCACAUCUCACGGAUCUGACCCAAGUCUCCACUGAUGGUAAAUGCAGAUUUCCAGUACUUAUGUAUCUAUAGAGGCUGCUGCUGUCCUAGACUUAGUGUACUUUGCUUAGACACUACUAUGAUUAGUCUAUACAUGUGUUGUAUGAUGGCUGUUAGAUUUAAUUUGUAACACCUGUUGUAUUAUUGCUUAUGGUUAUAAUCUCUUCCGUCGAAAGAAGUUCAUGUUUUCUCUGGUUUAACAUAGCCUACUAUAUCGGUCAGAGAAAAUUUAGGUGUUACAACUGUUUACUUUGUAUGUUUUCUAUUGGCUUACAAUUUCUCUAAUUACGGCUACUUAUUUCAUGCACUUUCUCCAUGUUGUACUAAGUUCUAUUUUUUCCCCACAGUCUAUCUACUGUGUAAUUCCAUGAAUAUCGUCCCACGGGCGCGGCGUGUCGCUGUGCCUAACCUUCCUAGUCAAACGCAACGUUCAACCCAUGUUCUAUAAAAAUUAGUGACGAGUGUAGAGUAAAAGAAAAGAUGGUGUUUAUAUUUGAAAACUCUACCCAGUUGUUAGUUGCAGAAAUUAUAUUUCUGAGAGACGCAUCCUCGUAUGAAAUAAACAUUGAUACUAGUACACUUCCAAGUUCGAUGUGCAAAAAUAAUAAAAAAAUACAUACAAUUGCAAUUGGAAUAAAUUACACAGAGAAUUGGGGGAAUACACCUAAAUCUUCCAUCAUUUUGGAUGUACAAAAAUGAUAAAAAAAUACAUGCAAUUGCACCAAGUUACAUAUAUAAUUGGGAGAAUACACCUAAAUCUUCCAUCAUUCUGGAUGUAAAAAAUGAUUA